rnacentral:rRNA from 1 species
AGCGAACGCUGGCGGCAGGCCUAACACAUGCAAGUCGAACGAACUCUUCGGAGUUAGUGGCGGACGGGUGAGUAACACGUGGGAACGUGCCUUUUGGUUCGGAAUAACUCAGGGAAACUUGUGCUAAUACCGAAUGUGCCCUUCGGGGGAAAGAUUUAUCGCCAUUAGAGCGGCCCGCGUCUGAUUAGCUAGUUGGUGAGGUAACGGCUCACCAAGGCGACGAUCAGUAGCUGGUCUGAGAGGAUGACCAGCCACACUGGGACUGAGACACGGCCCAGACUCCUACGGGAGGCAGCAGUGGGGAAUCUUGCGCAAUGGGCGAAAGCCUGACGCAGCCAUGUCGCGUGAAUGAUGAAGGUCUUAGGAUUGUAAAAUUCUUUCACCGGGGACGAUAAUGACGGUACCCGGAGAAGAAGCCCCGGCUAACUUCGUG